rnacentral:lncRNA from 1 species
CAGGGACCGCCUCCCGCGGGGCUGAACCCUCCGCGCUGCCGCCGCCGCCGAGUGCUGGAUGCGGGCCGGAAACUGCGCGGGGCGGGCCGCAGCCGCGUGAAGGUGACGCUGUGAGUGUAAGAGGGACCUGGAGCUUGAGGGUGACGCCAGGAGUUCGGGAGACCCUGAGUGUACGACUGAGUGUGUGAGAAAGACUGUGUGUGUGUGUGUGUGUGUGUGUGAGAGAGAGAGAGAGAGAGAGAGAGAGACCCCCAGGGUCGUGUUGGCUUUGUGAGUGUGCGAGACCCUGAGAGAAGGUCUUUGAAGUGAGAAAAACCACGGGUGUGAGAGAGCCUUCGUGGGUGUGUGAGGGAGAGAUCGUGAGGGUGAGAGACUAGGAAUAAGUUGUUCCCAGAGAGAGAGAGAGAGACACCGAUUGUGAGAAACAACCUGUGCUGUGUGACACGUUGAGCGAGUAAAGGUCUGAGGGCGCAGGGACCGAAGUGUGCGAAGGCGGGAACCACGCUUCUGGGGUUGUUUCAACCCUUGCCUGGGGGUCAGGGCUUGGAGCGCUGUGAUAUUGGAGCUUGGGAACAGGAUGCUCCCGUUAUUAAUGGUUCCUCUGAGCGUCUCUAUAUCCUGUCAUCUCAUUUGACCAGCUCGUGUCAUAACUGUCAGGAGAUAUUUGUGAAACAUUUUGAAAAUUCUCCACUGAGCGCUAAGCCAACAGCCUGGUCAUCAUGUUGUGUAAUGGUCAGUAUAAAUAGGAGUCAACAUCUAGUUUAACAGAUGUCUUGGAGAACCUCUCAUGGACACUGGUCUAUGUACGUGGUGACACUGAAGGACCCCAAGGCCCCAGGCCCAACAUUAGGAAAUCUAACCCCUGUGCCCUGAAGCUGCAAGAUGUUCUCUUACACAACCCCCAUGUCAAAACCCCACCAGCUGCACGUAGCAUUUCAAGUCUUGCACAAUGCCACCACAAGAUGUUCCAUAUAGAUAACCCCGGAAGGGCCAAACUUGAGCAAACAGGGUAAAAACAGGAACUAAACAGGGUAAAAACAGGAACUAAAAGGACAGGAUGCAAUUUUAUGGUUUUUCCGAGAACUAAAGUGGGAAAACAAGUUUACCCCCCAGGUGACCUAAAGGCUGAAUUCAGAGGAACCAAUAGAAUAACUGUUACUGUGCUAAGCUAAAAACUAACCCCCUGCUCUCUAUAAAAGAUCUGUGCCCUAGAGCCCGGUGUGCCAGUUCACCGAAGCUCCGGCUGAGGUUUCGCUGAGCACCCGCAGGCGCCUGUGUAGCAAUAAAUCGCCUCUUGCUUUUGCAGCCAGUGUCUCGUGUGCUUUUCCUUGAGCAGGGAGUCGGAGGGUCUUUCAUUUUGGAGGUCCCACCGAGAUCCCCCCCUCCCCCUCCACACCCCGGUCCGAGUCCCUGCCCGAGGAACGCCCGGCAACCACUGGGAGGUAAGCUGGCCAGCUCGUGUCAUUUUGUGUUUCUUUUGUUCUCUGUUUGCAGUCUCCGAUCGUUGUCUGUCUGUGCGCAGCGUCCGUACGCGUAGUCGCUCUGUAUUCUGGGCAGCUUGAGAAGGAGUUGACGAACUCAGACUUCUCCCCUGCCACCCUGGGAGACGUCCCAGGGAUUCAGAGGGCCCAAUUUUGGGGGCCUUAAAUGUUUUCGAAGAGUACACUGUUCUUGUGGGUGACGGAGUUCCUCCUCCCCCUAAUCUGAUACUUUCGGUUUGUGCCGAAGCCGCGCAGCGUUCUUUGUGUUUUGUGUCCUGUCUGAUUUGUAUCUGUCUCCUUGCCUCUGCAUUUUCUCGUUCCACCUGAGACUAACAUGGGACAAUCUAUAACAACUCCCUUGAGUCUCGCCCUUGACCAUUGGCAGGACGUCCGAAAUCGGGCAGACAACCAGUCAAUAAAAAUAAGAAGAAAAAAUGGGUAACACUCUGUACCACGGAGUGGCCAAUAUUGGCCCACCCUCGGAGUUGAAUGGCCCCCAGGAGAGUCCCUCCAUCUCUCUCUCUAAUCUGCAAAGUCAGAGAUUGUCUUUCAGCCAGGGCCGCAUGGCCAUCCAGAUCAUGGCUUUUAACCUUUCAGGACCUCUGCGAAUCUCCUCCUGCAUGGGUGGGGUCCGUGCAGUCCGCCGGGAGGAUUCCACCCAGCGGUAUCCCGUCCCUGUUCCUCCCCUGUUCCUCCCGGCCCCUCCACCCCAGGAAGCGAAAAAGUCUUCCUGGAGUCGGGCUGCUUGGAAAUGCAGCCCAAGGCGGAUGAUAAAUUCCAUCUAAGGCUGAAUACUGAGACUAGGGAAGCAAUGUUUUCUUUCCCCCCCAUAACCGGCUUGAGUGCAAAUAGAGAUGCCUGCUGGGGAUUUAACAACUUUGACAUCUCGCUUUGACUUUUCUCAAAGCCCUGUCCUCAUUAUUAAAUUAGUGUUAAUUGGCUUUAGAGAUGGGAACCAAAUUUUCAGUCACAAAUUUUGACACUCUCAAGGGGACUUUUAAGGAGUCCCCACUCUGCUUUCUUGGGGAAGCCUAGCACUCGAAACAACUGCAAGCAGAGGAUGGACUUUUUGGGAGCUGGCUACUAGCAAGUUAGAAAAAAAAAAAAUGCCUAAUGCCUAAGGUCAAACCAAACUAGAGGAACUGAUCCUGUGGGUGAAAGAUAAGAUUAAGGGACUCCCAGCAGCUGCCAGAGCCAUUUAGCUCUGGGGAGUUCCCUGGGUCCUUAUCUACAUCUUAAGGAUUACGCCACCUCUGUUUACUUAAAAAGAAGGGACACUGAAUGCAGUAAAGCCAGUCACACUGAGACCCUUGAUUUUACACCUAUAGUUGCCCCUACAUGAAAACAUCUGGUCCACUCCUGGGAAAGUCUAUGGUGCCACUGAUGGGAGUCAUAAUUAAAUGAAAGUUCAAAACCUGGAGAGAUACUUUCUUAUCUGGUUGUCUGAUUGUUUCUUAGGGAUAAUCUAGGUUAAAUGUGUGUCUAAAAAAAAAAUAAUUUUUUAUUGUAAUAAUCUGGUAUCUAAAUGGGUUUCUAAAGCAUUGCACUAUCUUGCAGUUAAAAGUUGGGUUUAAGCAAUUGUUUAGUUUGAUUUCAGAUAGUUCAUGCUAGAAAACUUAAAUACUUGGGAUAAAAAAAUUAAAGAGUUUCAAUUUUGAACUGGGUAGCCUAAAAAGAAAUUAAAACGUUGGUCUGGCUCAUAAAAAUGACAUUAGAUAAUUAAAUAGCAAUAGUCUUAGAAAUUUUCAAAGCUUAAUUUCAGAUAUAUAUGGUAGUGUGUGAGCAAAUUUAAUGUAACUCAAUGCUACUUUAGGAACUUUAGAACAAGCAAAGUGGCUUAGAGGUACUAAAGAAAUUUCUUCUGAUGGUAGAGGUCCUAUUUCCAAUUUUAUGUGA